GGGGAGGGGUGGCGAGGCGAGGCCUACGGAGCGGAGGAAGACACUUAAAGAUGAAGUGCUUAAUUCAAGGUCACAGAAUGUCGGGGAUGGACCUCCAGAUUUCCUUACUGGUGAGACGUGGUCUUGUAACACAGUGGUUAAGAAUGUGACUUUGGAGCCAGCCUGCUAGGGGCUGAAUUCUGACUCAGCCAUUUAUUAACUGUGUGACCUUAGAUGGAGUCUCACUCUGUAGCCCAAGCUGGAGUGGCGUGAUCUCGACUCACUGCAACCUCCGCCUCCUGGGCUCAAGUGAUUCUCGUGCCUCAGCCUCCUGAGUAGCUGGGACUACAGGUCAUAGAAUUUUCCACACUCCUUGACGGAGGUUCUUAACCCUUAUCCAUCAGCAUUCUCAGACAGCACCUCCGGUUAGGGACAGUAUCUGACCGUCCGACAUCCCUGCAGCCCCCAUGCUGUCACACAGACUCAGCCUCAGGUAGAUGGUUUCCGUAGAUGGUGGCUUUCUUUGGACCCUUGAUAUCAACCAGUUACUAUUUGACUCUUCUGCAGAACCCCAUGUUGACCCCUGCUUUGAGGUGGCAGCGUUAACACUACUCUUUGUUAUAAGCUCUCGUCUGGGGCAACUCAGGAGAACGGGACCAGAUGUGCAGAGGUAAUGAAUACCAGGGAAUCAGGAAACCACUGGAUCAGUUCUUUGAGCCAUAGAACAACACUCAUCCCAGCAGCUGGGAAGCUAUCUGCAAAAGUCCAUCUGCAGAAAGGGCUUCCUGGUCUUGCGUGUGGCUGGGCCAUUUCUCUGGAUGCAGGUUUUUCAUUAUACAGUCUUCUCAAAGGACCACCUGCUCUCAACACCUUCUCGGUGACUCCAUUUCCCCU
rnacentral:antisense_RNA from 1 species